rnacentral:rRNA from 1 species
CAGGUCAGAGAAGACUACCCGCUGGACUUAAGCAUAUCACUAAGCGGAGGAAAAGAAACUAACUAGGAUUCCCCCAGUAACUGCGAGUGAAGAGGGAAGAGCUCAUCAUUGGAAUCUGGCAGUGUUACACUGUCCGAGUUGUAGAUGAGGAGUAGUCCGUCUGGACUGCAUGGCGUCCAAGUACAAUAGGCCGUCAGUGGGACAUCAUAGAGGGUGACAAUCCCGUCCUUGACGCCAAUGUGCAAGUCUAUUACGAUGGCUAUCUCAGAGAGUCGAGCAGUUUGGGAUUUGCUGCUUAAACAUGGGAGGUAGAUUCCUUCUAAAGCUAAAUACAGGCGAGAGACCGAUAGAGAACAAGUACCGCAAGGGAAAGAUGAAAUAGCACUCUGUGAAGGGAGUCAAAAGGCGUGAAAUUGUUGCGAGAGAAGCGAUUCAAGUCAGCGUAGCUAGGCCCAUCAAGCGUCUUCGCUUUGGACUAGCUUUGCCAGCGGUCUUGUCCCUUAAAGAGACUUGACUUGUAAUAUGUCCAGCCUGGCGUGCACAGGCAGCCCCUUCUGGGGGCCAGUGGCAUGGCUGGUGGAAUGGCUUGCAAUCGACCCGUCUUGAAACACGGACCAAGGAGUCUAACAUGUAUGCGAGUAUAAGGGUGGCAAACCCGUAUGCGCAAUGAAAGUGAUUUUCGGUGAUUGAGAAUGGCCUGAUGACCAGACAAGCAAUAUAUGUCCCUCGUACGGCCAUUGCCCAAGUUCCGUGGUAGAUCCCACGAACAUGGAGUUGGAGCAUACAUGCUAGGACCCGAAAGAUGGUGAACUAUGCCUGGACAAAGCGAAGCCAAAGGAAACUCUGGUGGAGGCUUGUAGCGAUUCUGACGUGCAAAUCGAUCGUCUGAUCUGGGUAUAGGGGCGAAAGACUAAUCGAACCAUCUCAUAGCUGGUUCCUGCCGAAGUUUCCCCUCAGGAUA